CGGGUUGCGCUGGAAUCGCCGUCGGCUGGGCUGGAACCGCCGCCUGCUGGAAGAUCUUUCGGCGGUGGAUUUCGCUGAGGAGCCGUUUCUCGCCUCUCUUGAACGAAUCGUUCGCGAACUCCCAUCGAUCCGCUUCCCACGCACCAGCUGAAGUGGGGGAAUAUACAUAGGGUCUUCUGUGGUUGUUGACUUCGUGAGGAAUUGAGGCGAUGAGUUUGAAACAAGACCAUAGAGUAGCUGAACUGAGUCAGGGAUCCGGUCGGUGAAAUUGUUGCGCGAGAAAUCGGCAACGAUUAGGCUUUCCAAGUUAGCGAUUUCCCCUGGGAUACUGUAGCUGAUCUGAGUCGAGGAAGUUGUGACAAGUGCCGCACUUGUGAUGCUUUGUAGUAGUGCAGAAAGGGUUGGAGGCAGAGAGCUAGACGAAGAGGCUCGUAGAGAUUGAAUUGCUUUUGGGUUUUCUUUACAACCUAGUGGCAGUGGCUCUACUAUAUCAUUGAAAGCAGAUUCCUGUACUUCCUCAGUAUCAGAGGAAUGCUCUAGCUCAACAGAAAUGGCUGGCGAGAUUGUUGGUUUGCACUCUUCAAUAUCAACAUUUCUGGAGCUUGCUGGACAAUGUGGAUGCACAAGUUCUUCCUCAUUCAUAGAAAUUAGUACUCUUCACUUUGGCAGUUAAUCUUUCAGACUGAAUAAUGGAUGAAACAAUCUCCAUUGAACGUUUUGGUGGCAACUAAGCAAGGAAGUAGGUUUCAUUGUCCUCCAUUGAAUCAUGCAAAGGAUCUUUAACAACUGUCAAAAUAGUGCUUUCUGCUGGUUCUUGUGGAAGUUCUGAAGGAGGGAUGCGGACUGGGAGCGGGAGAGUAUGGUUCUGAAUUUGAAGAUUUUGUCAUUUAUGGGAUUUAAGGCAUUUUAGAGAAAUUUGAGUUAAUUUUUUUAAUAAAUUUAUUUCCAAAAGA